UACGUAGGUGACAAGCGUUGCCGGAUUUACUGGGCGUAAAGAGCGCGCAGGCGGUCGAUCAAGUCGAGUGUGAAAGCCCCCGGCUCAACUGGGGAGGGUCAUUCGAUACUGAUCGACUCGAAGGCAGGAGAGGGUAGUGGAAUUCCCGGUGUAGUGGUGAAAUGCGUAGAUAUCGGGAGGAACACCAGUGGCGAAGGCGACUACCUGGCCUGUUCUUGACGCUGAGGCGCGAAAGCUAGGGGAGCAAACGGGG
rnacentral:rRNA from 1 species